GGGUUGUGAGGUUAAGCGACUAAGCGUACACGGUGGAUGCCCUGGCAGUCAGAGGCGAUGAAGGGCGUGCUAAUCUGCGAUAAGCGCCGGUAAGGUGAUAUGAACCGUUAUAACCGGCGAUUUCCGAAUGGGGAAACCCAGUGUGACUCGUCACACUAUCAUUAACUGAAUCCAUAGGUUAAUGAGGCGAACCGGGGGAACUGAAACAUCUAAGUACCCCGAGGAAAAGAAAUCAACCGAGAUUCCCCCAGUAGCGGCGAGCGAACGGGGAGGAGCCCAGAGCCUGAAUCAGCAUGUGUGUUAGUGGAAGCGUCUGGAAAGGCGCGCGAUACAGGGUGACAGCCCCGUACACAAAAGCGCAUGUGCUGUGAGCUCGAUGAGUAGGGCGGGACACGUGGUAUCCUGUCUGAAUAUGGGGGGACCAUCCUCCAAGGCUAAAUACUCCUGACUGACCGAUAGUGAACCAGUACCGUGAGGGAAAGGCGAAAAGAACCCCGGCGAGGGGAGUGAAAAAGAACCUGAAACCGUGUACGUACAAGCAGUGGGAGCACCCUUUUGGGUGUGACUGCGUACCUUUUGUAUAAUGGGUCAGCGACUUAUAUUCUGUAGCAAGGUUAACCG
rnacentral:rRNA from 1 species